UGGACAGAUUAUUGUAUUCGACUGUAUUCACGGCGUGAAACAGGGGAUUACGCUGUUUUUAAACGGAGUGAAUCAAUUAACAUAAUAGACUCCU
rfam:Nicotiana attenuata strain TT chromosome 2, whole genome shotgun sequence.